GGUAGCAGAGAUAGCUUGCUAUCUGCUGACGAGCGGCGGACGGGUGAGUAAUGCUUGGGAAUAUGCCUUUGAGUGGGGGACAACAGUUGGGAACGACUGCUAAUACCGCAUAUCGUCUACGGACCAAAGGGGGGGAUUCUUCGGAACCUCUCGCUCAUUGAUUAGCCCAAGUGAGAUUAGCUAGUUGGUAAGGUAAUGGCUUACCAAGGCGACGAUCUCUAGCUGGUUUGAGAGGAUGAUCAGCCACACUGGGACUGAGACACGGCCCAGACUCCUACGGGAGGCAGCAGUGGGGAAUAUUGCACAAUGGGCGAAAGCCUGAUGCAGCCAUGCCGCGUGUGUGAAGAAGGCCUUCGGGUUGUAAAGCACUUUCAGCGAGGAGGAAAGGGAUGUAGUUAAUAACUGCAUUCUGUGACGUUACUCGCAGAAGAAGCACCGGCUAACUUCGUGCCAGCAGCCGCGGUAAUACGAGGGGUGCAAGCGUUAAUCGGAAUUACUGGGCGUAAAGCGUGCGUAGGUGGUUUGUUAAGCAAGAUGUGAAAGCCCUGGGCUCAACCUGGGAACUGCAUUUUGAACUGGCAAGCUAGAGUUUUGUAGAGGGUAGUGGAAUUUCCAGUGUAGCGGUGAAAUGCGUA
rnacentral:rRNA from 1 species